GCAGUUUGUUCUCAGCCACGUUGUGCCUGACCCUAGUCAGUCAAUUUAUUAUUUCAAACUGCCCAUUAUUUAGAUAUCUCUCAUAUACAUGUGAUCAGGAAAUUUCAACCACAAAUAUACAGUGAUACAGAAGUAUUCCAAACAGUCAUGUUGAAAAUACUUGGAGGGCAUGAAUUCCAGCAUU